AUGCAUGACUGCUUUUGCCUGCUCUCUUUUGUGGCCCUGCUACGUCCGAAAUCCUCCUCCUGGCUCCUGUUUCCUCUAACAGGUGCAAAGGCUGUUUUCAGAGGAAGUUGCAGCCCGUCUCCUAGCAACAGCGAGACAUUUAUCACAGAGAGGAGGGGUGGACUUCCUGUGGUCUGGACAUGCGCCAGCUCCCUGGAGACCAAGGGGAAGAGACUGAACUGGGAUUUGAUGUGCUUUUCUUUGUUUUUAAGCCAAGCCAAAACAACACGUGUCUGUUCAGCUGAUAGAAGUUAUGAUGAGGUCACACCUGAGACCACAGAAAGCCCAAGACAUUCAGGGCUGUCGUCCAUCCAUCAACUCAGUAGCGACCCUAUGCAGAGGCAAUGUAAAGUCUGGAUUCUCGUUCAGACAGACCAACGGGCCGCCCUCCCACACCGUGACUCAUCCAACAUUAAGCAGUCAGCGGCACGACUCUGCCGUUGUCAUGGCAACCGAAGCCCACAGCUACCUGACAGACCUCCCAUGGGAUGAAGUGAAGGAAAUGAAAGAGAAUGGUAACUUUGUGUUUGUGCGAUUACGUGCAAAUUGUUGCCAACAGUGGGUGGUCCCUCAACGACAGCAGAAAAAUUAUGUAAGCUCCCAGGAAGUAGUUAUCCUCCAGGGGUUCGGAUGAGUUUAUGUACAUGUAAAGAAUCCAGCUGCAAAUUUUGUCAUUAUCUUAUCCUUUAAAGAUGCAAUAUAAACUGCUGAC